rnacentral:lncRNA from 1 species
CAAAGAGACCACCACCAAUCCGGCUACCCCAUCUCGCGUCUUCUCCUCCUCACAAAAAAAAAAAAAAAACCAUUUCUACUGCUGCUUGUGCUAGUCUUCUCCUCCCCUUUCCCUUGCCUUGCCUUACCUUCCUCGCUGCCUCCUCCUCCUCCGUCUCCGCUCCGCCUCCGCUAGGGUUCCCCCGCCGCCGCCGCCGCUGCUGCCCCCCGAUCCGUGAUGCCGCCGGCGACCAUGGCUCCUCCUCCUUCGCAGCAGCAGCAGCAGGGCUCCUCCACAGGUCAGAUCUGGGGUCAAACCCGUGGAGGCGAGGCGG